AGACUUACCUGGCAGGAGAGAUUGCCUGGUCUGGAAUGUGGUUUGCACAGGGUGAGGCCUCACUACAUGCUUUGGGUGUUCCAAAUUCUUCUGAGUAAUUUCUGACAGUUGGGGAUGUGUGACACCUGUCCCAU
rnacentral:snRNA from 1 species